GGGCGCAGGCACAGGACUCACUAGGCUGGGGAGACCCACAGGAGGCCUGGUCCUGGGAGGAGGCACAGGAUAAACCGGGCUGUGGGGGAGCACUGGAGUUCUGGUGCGUAGGCUUGCCACCCAAACUCCAGGCUGAAUGCCCACCUUUGCCCGGCACGGGCGAAGCGCAGGCAUAGGCCGAACUGAGCCCUCCCAGCACCCCGGAGACACAGUACGCAGCACCGGUGCAGGAUAGCCUGGACCGAGACAGCGCACCGGAGACCAGAUGCGCUGAGCUGGCACAUUCCGACCUGCCUCGAUGCCCACUCUCGCAUGGCACUUGCGGGGGGCUGGCAUGUAGCGUUCCGGGCUAUAAACGCGUACUGGGGACACCGUGCGCUUUACUGUAUAACACGGUGCCUGACCAGUACUGCGCUGCCUCCUGUAAGCAGGUCUCCAACCUGACUCUGCCACACUGUGCACGGGCUGCCUCUCGUGCCUGUUGCGCUCCCUUGCCUCAUACCAGCGCCUCUCAGCUAUCGCCGCCUCGAUCUCCCACUGCGGGCGGCGAUACUCCCCAGCUUGAGCCCAUGGUCCUUUACCGUCCAGUAGUUCCUCCCAUCUCCACGAGUCCAUACUGCCCCUCUCCUGGUGCUUCUCCUUCCUCCGUUGCUUGGUCCGUUUCUUGGUGGGUGAUUCUGUAAUGGCCGUCGUAGUAAUGAAACCAGGGUGAAGCGGAGGAUGUAACAGGUGUGCCUUGUUAAAAGUACAUUUGUGGAAUUUCUUUCCUUCUUAAUGCAUUUGAGACAAUCAGUUGUGUUGUGACAAGAUAGGAGUGGUAUACAGAAGAUAGCCCUAUUUGGUAAAAGACCAAGUCCAUAUUAUGGUAAGAACAGCUCAAAUAAGCAAAGAAAAACGACAUUCCAUCAUUACUUUAAGACAUGAAGGUCAGUCAAUAAGGAACAUUUGAAGAAAUUUGAAAGUUUCUUCAAGUGCAGUCGCAAAAACCAUCAAGCGCUAUGAUGAAACUGGCUCUCAUGAGGACUGCCACAGGAAAUUAAGACCCAGAGUUUGUCACUCCCUGAUCUGUUUCACCUGUUCCUGUGAUUGACUCCACCCCCUCCAGGUGUCGCUUAUUUUCCCCAGUGUAUUUAUACCUGUGUUUCCUGUCUCUCUGUGCCAGUUCGUCUUGUAUGUUAGUCAAGUCAACCAGCAUGUUUUUCCUGCCUGCCCUUGAUUCUGCCUGCCCUUGAUUCUGCCUGCCCUUCGGUACCUUUUGGACUCUGAACUGGUUUUGACCCUUUUGCCUGUCCACAACCAUUCUCUUGCCUUACCGUAUUGGAUUAAAUAAUAUUGUAAGACUCCAACCAUCUGCCUCCUGUGUCUGCAUCUGGGUCUCACCUUGUGUCAUGAUAGAGUUACCUCUGCUGCAGAGGACAAGUUCAUUAGAGUUACAAGCCUCAGAAAUUUCAUCCCAGAUAAAUGCUUCAGUGUUCAAGUAACAGACACAUCUCAACAUCAACUGUUCAGAAGAGAAUGUGUGAACCAGGCCUUCAUGGUUGAAUUGCUGCAAAGAAACUACUACUAAAGGACACCAAUAAGAAGAAGAGACUUGCUUGGGCCAAGAAACACAAGCAAUGGACAUUACACCGGUGGAAAUCUGUCCUUGGUCUGAUGAGUCCAAAUUGGAGAUUUUUGGUUCCAAUCACCGUGUCUUUGUGAGACGCAUAGUUGGUGAACGAAUGACCUCUGCAUGUGUGGUUCCCACCGUGAAGCAUAGAGGAGGAGUUGUGGGGGUGCUUUGCUGGUAACACUGUCUGUGAUGUAUUUAGAAUUCAAGGCACACUUAACCAGCAUGGCUAUCACAGCAUUAUGCAGCAAUACGCCAUCCCAUCUGGUUUGCGCUUAGUGGGACGAUAAUUUGUUUUUCAACAGGACAAUGACCCAACACACCUCCAGACUGUGUAAGGGCUAUUUGAUCAAGAAGGAGAGUGAUGGAAUGCUGCAUUAGAUGACCUGGCCUCAACAAUCACCCAACCUCAACCCAAUUGAGAUGGUUUGGGAUCAGUUGGACUGCAGAGGUAAGGAAAAGCAGCCAACAAGUGCUCAGCACAUGUGGGAACUCCUUCAAGACUGUUUAGAAAAGCAUUCCAGGUGAAGCUGGUUGAGAGAAUGCCAAGAGUGUGCAAAGCUGUCAUCAAGGCAAAAGGUGGCUACUUUGAAAUCAAAAUAUAUUUUCAUUUGUUUAACACUUUUUUGGUUAUUACAUAGUUUGUCAUCACUAUUAUUCUACGAUGUAGAAAAUAGUAAAAUUAAAAACCCUUGAAUGAGUAGGUGUGUCC
rnacentral:lncRNA from 1 species